rnacentral:rRNA from 1 species
UACGUAGGGGGCAAGCGUUAUCCGGAUUUACUGGGUGUAAAGGGAGCGUAGGUUGUUUUAUAAGUUAGCGGUGAAAUACCGAUGCUCAACAUCGGGGCUGCCGCUGAUACUGUAGGACUAGAGAUCGGAUGCAGCAGGCGGAAUGUGUAGUGUAGCGGUGAAAUGCAUAGAUAUUACACAGAACACCGAUUGCGAAGGCAGCUUGCUAGGCCGGAUCUGACACUGAUGCACGAAAGCGUGGGGAUCGAACAGG